ACGAAAAUAGAGGGAAACAAGUAGAAGCACACCGACACUGAUAACUGAGCUGGUGUUGAAAAAGAUGGAAACUCUGAAAGCUGCGAUUCCCGAAGGCCUGAAGCGCAUGAUUGGUGAUAGCACCGUCGAUGAUCUUCGCGCCACCUCUUCCUCCCUCCACAGCUUCUUCCAUCACUUCGAGCCCUUCCACCAGUUACUCACUGAACUCGUGGAUCCCAAGCAUGCUCUCUGCGGCAAGAGCAAAGACGCUGCGCUCGAAUCCAAGCAGCUCGGAAACCAGUGCUUCUCCAAAGGAAAUUACGCCAACGCUCUUGAUUUCUAUACUCAGGCAUUGCGAAAGGCACCUUUUGAGGAUGGUGAUAUGGAAAAUAAUCUGGUUGCAACUUUGUAUAUCAAUCGAGCUACUGUAUUGCAUAAAAUGAGUCUUUUGACAGAGUGUUUGCGAGAUUGUACUCGUGCCCUUCAGAUAUGUCCAAGCAAUGCAAAGGCAUGGUACAGAAGAGGUAAGGCAAAUGCUUCCCUGGGAAAUUAUAAAGAUGCGAUGUGUGACCUAAAUAUGGCUAAAACUGUGGAAUCAUCAUUGAGUGGGAAGAGACAAAUAGAAAGUGAGGAGAAAAAUAUUUUCGACCAAUGCAAGAGCACAAGCACAGUAAGACAACGUAAGGAGAACACCUUGACUACAGUGGGUGAGGUUCCCCAAGUAAUGCUACAGUGUGUCAACAUACCUGAGAAAGGAAGAGGCAUGGUAUCAUCAAAUGCCAUUUCACCUGGUUCUUUGGCUCAUAGUGAAGAACCUUAUGCUGUGAUAAUAUUAAAGCAAUGCCGGGACAGUCAUUGCCACUAUUGCUUGAAUGACCUACCUGCUGAUAGGGUACCCUGUAGAUCAUGUUCAGUACCACUGUAUUGCUCCCAGCAAUGCCAGACACAGGCUGGUGGGCAAGUCUUAAGGAUUUUCCCAGAAGUUCACAGCAUUAUUGAGAAGUUACCCAGUGACCUUGGAGAGUAUGCUGACAAAGUUAUUCAAGGCCAUGAUUCCAAAUGUGAAACACAGAAUAUCACUGAACAUAAGCAUGAAUGUCGUGGUGUAAAUUGGUCUGCAGUACUACCAUCAGAGGUGGUUUUAACUGGCCGAAUACUGGCAAGGUUUUUACUAGAGAGGACAUCAGAAAAUAUUACAUACUUUGUGGAGAAGCUGGAGCUUUCCCAUUGUUAUGAACGUAUGCUGCCUGAAAGCAAAUUGGAUACACAUAUAUAUUCCAUUGUGUUAUUAUAUUGUCUUAACCGCUCUUGUGGAGCUGCAUUGUCCAUUGACGAAGUCACCAUUUCCCAGGUUGUUAUAAUUAUUUCUCAAAUGAAAGUGAAUUGUAUGACUGUUGUUCGUUUAAAAUCAAAAGAUGCUUGUGGGCUAUCCGAUCAGUUCGGAGAUUUUCCAUCCUGUCCAUACUUAACUAGUAAUGUGGAACAGGUCAGGGUGGGUAAAGCUAUUUAUAAAGCUGGAAGUUUAUUCAACCAUUCUUGCCAACCAAAUGUUCAUGCAUAUUUUAUUUCACGUAAUUUGUGUAUACGGACAACAAAAGCUAUACCUGCUGAGGGUCAUCUGGAGUUGUCUUAUGGUCCACAGGUUGGGUUCUGGGAUUGUAAAGAUCGCCUUAAUUUCCUCAAAGAGGAGUACAUGUUUCAGUGCCAGUGUACUGGUUGUUCUGAAGUCAAUCUAUCCGACAUUGUCCUCAAUGCAUUUUGUUGUGUCAAUUCUAAUUGUUUUGGUGCAGUCUUGGAUAGCAGAGUAGUUAACUGUGAAAAGCAGAAAAUCAAGAAUUUCAUGAGACAUUUAAAGAUAGACAAGAAUGAUGACAUUCAUAAAGUGCUCAACCAAAAUGAUGCCUCCCAUCAUAUUCAACCUGGAUACUGUCUGAAGUGUGGUUCUUACCGUGAUUUGGUGCCUUCACGUGCUGCAGUUGAUAAAGCUUUAAUAUUCAUAAAAAGGUUACAGGAUGCAAUAUUAUCAAAAGAAAUUUUAAAUACCACGAUUGCAGAUGCUUUGAGAUCCUUGCGUUUGCUAAGAUCAAAUUUGCAUGCCUAUAACAGGCUUAUUGCAGAGGCAGAGGAUAACCUUGCGCAGGCCUUUUGUUUGUUGGGAGACUUUCAAUUAUCUAUGGACCAUUGUAAAGCAUCCAUCAAGAUUCUAGAGAAGUUGUAUCAUCCUGAUGAUAUAGUUAUUGCGUAUGAACUUGUGAAGCUUUGUUCGAUCCAACUUUCCGUAGGAGAUGGUUCUGCAAUGGAUAGCAUAAACCGGAUUGGUGAUAUCUUCUCAUGUUAUUAUGGACUUCAUGCUGACUUGGUUUUCCCGUAUCUUCAAUACCUUAGGAGAUAAAUUUAGAAAUUUUCAGGGGGGUCUCUAAUUAAAUGCUUUUUGUCCCAGUGAGAUAUAAAUGUGAAGUAUAACAGCUCAAGUGACUGGAGAUUUGAUGUGAAAGAUAUAUAAUAGUCUAGCCUCAAGAAAGAUUGCCUGAAGCUCACUUGUGCAGUUUGGCAAAUCAACCUCUCGUGCAUUGAUAAAUAUGGUGUCCUUGAAUAUCCAGAUAUCCAGAGAGGCCAAUGUGGUUGCAAGACACGAUACGAUACUAGCCAGUGUUAAUGACCGACUUGGUUCCCUCUUUAAGCUAUUAGGUACAUGUGUCUACUAAACUGCAUUUACCUCUUACAUUUUGGUAAAGGGUAGACCGGCAUUGACAGUAACGGACAUGUUUACCCUUUUUUUAUGUUGGUCCGAACGGACAAGUUGACUUUAGGGAUUCUAAAGCUGCAUUUUGUUUUUGCAAAAGCAAGUAAAAUAAAUGUAUGAAAUAAUCAGGCGGCAACAUAGCCUAUUAAGGUUGAUUGUUUUAGUUAUGGACAAGAAAGAUGUAUUACACGUCACACCUAAAGGGGGAAUUGAGGUGCAAAUGCAAGUAUAUGGGUGUUGGGGACGUAGAAAAGCGACACACAAGUUGCGUGUUGAAGGAAGCAGAAUUGGUCAGUGUUGGAAUACGUGACUUGCUUCUUAAUUAUUUUUAUAACCCUAUACGAAAGUUUCGUCUAUAACUACUAAGUUAGCCAUUUCCCAUCAUUUUGAGUUGAGUUGUGUAUAUGUAUUGGUGGUGUGAGGGUAGAUCAUUUCUAGUGCGAGUUCAAAGAGAAAAUAAAGGUGGAAUUUAGGAAGCAAUGGAAGGUAGCGCAAAUUUACUAGUGUAUUGCGAUUGUGAGAUUAUAUGACAUACACGGGGUGUGAGUUUUGCGUGUGGGUAUCCAUAGCUAUAAUAUGGUCUUUGUCAAAGCAUAGAAAGUAAUAUUUUAAAGAUGGUGGACAAUAUUUUGUAUAGAAAUCCUAUUAUCAUAUUGGCGGGCUAAUAAAGUUUGACACAAUAUCCAUUGUUGAU